rnacentral:rRNA from 1 species
UGAGUACGAGAUGCUACGGCAUCGAAGCAGUCUAUGUCAUACUUCCAAGAAAAGCUUGCACUGUCAUAAACAAAGAAUGCCUGUACCAUAACCGACACAGGUGGGUAGGUAGAGUAUACUAAGGGGCGCGAGAUAACUCUCUCUAAGGAACUCGGCAAAAUGACUCCGUAACUUCGGGAGAAGGAGUGCCUUAUUUCUAAGGUUGCAAUAACAAGAUCCAAGCAACUGUUUACCAAAAACACAGGUCUCCGCUAAGUCGUAAGACGAUGUAUGGGGGCUGACGCCUGCCCAGUGCCAGAAGGUUAAAGAAGUUGGUUAGCAUUAGCGAAGCUGAUAACUGAAGCCCUGGUGAACGGCGGCCGUAACAAUAACGGUCCUAAGGUAGCGAAAUUCCUUGUCGGGUAAGUUCCGACCCGCACGAAAGGCGUAAUGAUUUGGAUACUGUCUCGGAGAGGGGCUCGGUGAAAUAGACUUGUCUGUGAAGAUGCGGACUACCUGCACCUGGACAGAAAGACCCUAUGAAGCUUUACUGUAACUUGAGAUUGAAAUUGGACUUUGUUUGCGCAGUAUAGGUGGGAGGCGUUGAGAAUAAUCUUGCGGGAUUGUUGGAGCCAUCAGUGAGAUACCACUCUUGUAAUGUUAGAUUUCUAACUUUGUAUCAUUAUCUGGUCAAAGAACAGUUUCAGGCGGGCAGUUUGACUGGGGCGGUCGCCUCCCAAAGGGUAACGGAGGCGCACAAAGGUUUCCUCUGAACGGGUAGAAAUCGUAUCUAGAGUGUAAAGGCAUAAGGAAGCUUGACUGUGAGACCUACAAGUCGAGCAGGGACGAAAGUCGGUCUUAGUGAUCUGACGGUGCUGAGUGGAAAGGCCGUCACUCAACGGAUAAAAGUUACUCUAGGAUAACAGGCUGAUCUCCCCCAAGAGUUCACAUCGACGGGGAGGUUUGGCACCUCGAUGUCGGCUCAUCGCAUCCUGGGGCGGUAGUCCGUCCCAAGGGUUGGGCUGUUCGCCCAUGAAAGCGGUACGCGAGCUGGGUUCAGAACGUCGUGAGACAGUUCGGUCCAUAUCCGGUGUAGGCGUUAGAAUAUUGAGAGGAGCCUUCUCUAGUACGAGAGGACCGAGAAGGACAUACCUCUGGUGUACCAGUUAUCGUGCCAACGGUAAACGCUGGGUAGCUAUGUAUGGAGUGGAUAACCGCUGAAAGCAUCUAAGUGGGAAGCCCACCUCAAGAUAAGUAUUCUCA